rnacentral:lncRNA from 1 species
UGGACUCUUAGUAUAAAGUAGUUACUGGGUGGGAUGUUGGCUUCAGUGAAAAAAAUCUGAUGAAAAAUUGAAACGUAGAUCAAUAUUUUUGCUAAAACAAAACAAAAACAAGAAGAGGGUUUGUCUCGCUCCAACUUAUAGGAGGGAGAGGAGGUUCUUUGAUAUAUGUAUACCUGACGUGAGAUUAAGAAACAAUGGUUCAAAUGUUGGUCCCACCAGCUUAUUACAAUCUUAAUCAGGGAGAUGGGGAAGGGAAGGACAGCGACUAUUAUGAAUUAGGGUGAUAGGGAAGGGAAGGAGGGCAAUAGAAAUGAUAGGAAAGAAGCAAAAAUUGUGUAAAGUGGGGAUAGUCACCACCGGGAUCCAGCAGCGAUCCCAUUGCACGCCAUCCCAAUUGUCUGAGGCAAAAGCAGCAGGGGGAGAGCAGCAGCAGCAGCGUGGCCGGCCUUGGGCAGCAAGCAGGUAGCAGGAAGAAGUCGCAGGGUAAGUCUGGGAGGAAGCAGCAGGACUCAGGUAGUAGGCCCAGCGGAGUAAAUCAGCAUGCAGGAAUUCCAUAAUGAGGAAUCUUAUGGCAGACACCUUUGUUCUUCUUCUUCAGCAUGCAGGCAUCAUGUCGUGAGCAAUCUGUUGUCAGAAACCUUCCGGGGGAGAGCAGCAGCAGCAGCAGCAUGGCCAGCCUUAAGGAGCAAGAAUAUGCAGCAACAGAUGUGGGUGCAGCAGAGAAAAACCGUGCAAGUUCAGCAAAUGAAUGCAUCUAUCCCAAACAACAGAGCCACAGAACAGCAGAACAUGGAGACAAUCAACACUGAAAGGGGAAACAGUGCCAUCCUGCCUGAAACAAGGUACUUAGACUGGGAGCAUAGCACAGAACUUGGUAUAGCUGUUUUUAUGGAAAUAUUGUCCAUGAUGUGUGGUAGCAACAUGUCAACCACCUGCAAAAUGCCAGAAAAUAACUGUGGCAAACAUUUAUGUUGUGGCAGAAGUACAAUUAUAUGUGGUACCUAUGGACAAGUACUAAAUGACUAGCAGUGUCUUCUGCUGCUGAAGACCAAAUAUUGGCCCUCGUGGC